GGAGAUUUCUACAGCUGUUGACAACGAGAAGAAAAAUACCCAUUCCCUCCUUAAAGAUGGCAGAACCUUUGCGUACGACCUCUUAAAGGGUAUCAUCGAUUCAACACAGCCAUUACAAAGUGGCCAAUCGAUCCCUAUUUUAAUUCAAACACCCACCCUCGUACUGCAUGCGUUCGCCAACUGCAUCUCUCCGAGGGCCGGCAGUCUGGAAGGAGAGCGCCUCCCCACUUUGGUGACAAGGCGACUCCAGGCCGAAGCACUGUUUUUUCCGACACACACAGAGACGCAUUGACGUGACGAACACAAGCCGACUCCGCCCCCCUCCUCCCGAAGACAGCGUUGCCAAUGAUCGCUGCUUCGUCAAAUCCGGCCAUAGUCGGAUCUGACGAGACCGGGGCGCGAACCCCAGUCCCCAGUGGGCAACUGCAUCGACACAGAGCCGAUGCUUAGACCGCUACACCACCACGGACCGACAGAACACUGAUUUUGACGUGCAGAUCUGGGCAGCUUGAUGCAAAACCUGACAAUGAACAACCACUCACCACCUCAACAAGACAGAAGAUGGACACAGAGGGUAAACAUCAGAAGGACCUUUGUGACCCCAUAACCACCGGCACUAUCACCAUGCUAACAAAGACAUUUAUACCCGGUGGAGUACACCCAGGCAGUGGUUAGCGCGGUUGCCUUACAGCAAGAAGGUGCUGGGCUUGAGCCCAGGGGUAGUGGAGUUUGCAUGUUCUCCCUGUGUCUGCGUGGGUUUCCUCUGAUUGCUCUGGUUUCCUCCCACAGUCCAAAGACAUGUGCUAGCUCUGGUGAAUCGGCCAUACUACAUUGCCCCUAGGCUUAUCGAGGAGCUUCAGAAACGUCAAAUGAAUGUUGUGAACAUUCCAGAAGAGGAUUCUCCUAUACUUCCUUGUGCAAGCCAAACCGUGGUGGAUGCUGCGAUCAGCCAAG